rnacentral:rRNA from 1 species
UACAGAGGCCCCAAGCGUUACUGAGAAUCACUGGGUUUAAAGGGUGCGUAGGUGGUCCAUUAAGUUCGUUGUGAAAGCCCUGGGCUCAACCCAGGAACUGCUUCGAAUACUGGCGGACUUGAGGCGAGUAUGGGUCACUGGAACUGACGGUGGAGCGGUGAAAUGCGUAGAUAUCGUCAGGAACGCCAAUGGUGAAGACAGGUGACUGGGCUCGAUCUGACACUGAGGCACGAAAGCGUGGGGAGCGAACGGG